GUAGGUGAACCUGCGGAAGGAUCAUUAUCACGUAUCCACGUAUAAACCAUUGUGAACCGUUUUUUUUAACCUCUGCAAAACAGGGCUGCCUCCUCCCAUGAAUGUAAAAAGUUUGUGUGUGUGUGUGACUGCCCGGCUAGUAACAGAGCGUAUUUACCCUAUUAACCAUUUUAACCAAUCUUUAUAACUUUUAUGAACUAACUUUAUUUUAUACUCUUCGGAGAUAAAAUUCAUUACGAAACAAAGAACAACUCUUAGCAACGGAUAUCUUGGUUCUC
rnacentral:misc_RNA from 1 species